rnacentral:rRNA from 1 species
GAUGAACGCCGGCGGCGUGCCUAAUACAUGCAAGUCGAGCGAACAGACGAGGAGCUUGCUCCUCUGACGUUAGCGGCGGACGGGUGAGUAACACGUGGAUAACCUACCUAUAAGACUGGGAUAACUUCGGGAAACCGGAGCUAAUACCGGAUAAUAUAUUGAACCGCAUGGUUCAAUAGUGGAAGACGGUUUUGCUGUCACUUAUAGAUGGAUCCGCGCCGCAUUAGCUAGUUGGUAAGGUAACGGCUUACCAAGGCAACGAUGCGUAGCCGACCUGAGAGGGUGAUCGGCCACACUGGAACUGGGACACGGUCCAGACUCCUACGGGAGGCAGCAGUAGGGAAUCUUCCGCAAUGGGCGAAAGCCUGACGGAGCAACGCCGCGUGAGUGAUGAAGGUCUUCGGAUCGUAAAACUCUGUUAUUAGGGAAGAACAAAUGUGUAAGUAACUAUGCACGUCUUGACGGUACCUAAUCAGAAAGCCACGGCUAACUACGUG